ACAUACGACCAUACCCACUGGAAAACUCGGGAUCCCGUCCGCUCUCCCAUAGAUAAGCCAGUGAGGGCCAGACUAGUAGUUGGUCGAUGACGACCAGCGAAUCCCUGGUGUUGUAUGU
rnacentral:rRNA from 1 species